UCCCCAGAUGUCAAACACAAGAACUCUCACAAGCCGUGGAAUUGUUUUCCAGUUUUGUUGUUCAAUCGCCAUUGAUCCGCAACGAAGUCUCAUUUUUAGGGUUUGUGGGUGUUUGAAUCGGGGCUAGAGAACAAUGUUUAAAUUCUCAAUUUCUCUGAUCAAAAAAGUUGGAAGGAAGCAAAUUGGGGAUGAUGGGUCAGAUAGUGGUUUCUCCAACUUUAUAUAUGAUGAAAAUAAAAUAUAAUGUUUUGAGUAAUUGUAUUUUUGGAUGUUGGUAGGUUAUGCAAGAGUUAUGUAGGUAAAUCAAUAAGAAAAAUGGCAACUAGACCUACAACAUAGGUUUAUGCUGAUGAAACAGUUGAGGAAAGGGUAUAUGGAUGGUGAAUAAUUUUCCGAUUUUGCU
rnacentral:lncRNA from 1 species